rnacentral:misc_RNA from 1 species
GUCAAGGAAGUUUCGGGCCGAAGGAACCAUGGUUCGACCAUUUGCGGCCAAGGGGAAGAAGAGAAAGAAGGCGGAGAAGUACGACAGGGACGAAGAUGGCGGAGAAUCCACCGCUCCGGCCAAGAGGCCUAUGGUGGAUAACGAACCUGAUGAAGAACCACCCAAGGAAGAUUUCCAAGAGCUUGAAGGUAUUCCUAUUGUUCCAAAAGACCCCAACAGUGCUAACAAUGCUGGUGUCAUCUUCGUCCUCGAAAGAGCUUCUCUCGAGGUUGCCAAAGUUGGGAAGAAUUACCAGCUGUUGAAUUCCGAUGACCACUCCAAUUU